GACAGUUUGGCCGAGUGGUUAAGGCGGCAGACUCGAAUUGGCUUGUCUUAUCCCAAGCCUCGCUCGUCAUCUGCUGGGUUCGCCCGCAGAGGUUCAAAUCCUCUAGGUUA
rnacentral:tRNA from 1 species